rnacentral:rRNA from 1 species
UACAGAGGUGGCAAGCGUUGUUCGGAAUUACUGGGCGUAAAGGGCGCGUAGGCGGUCUCGUAAGUCCUGUGUGAAAUCCCCCGGCUCAACUGGGGAACUGCACAGGAAACUGCGAGACUUGAGUUCGGGAGAGGGAAGCGGAAUUCCGGGUGUAGCGGUGAAAUGCGUAGAUAUCCGGAGGAACACCGGUGGCGAAGGCGACUUCCUGGCCUGUUCUUGACGCUGAGGCGCGAAAGCUAGGGGAGCAAACGGG